GGCUAAGUAACAUAAUGGCAAUGUAUUGGAUUGCAAACCCUAGAAAGAUGGUCCGAAUCUGCUCUCAGCCU
rnacentral:tRNA from 1 species